UCGGCAAUAUAAGAGCCUGUGUACCGGGUAGCGAAGGUAUAAUCAGUUCCGAGUGAUUCCUCCGCCAAGUUGUUGGUGAGUUAUAAGUAAUUGUUCCAAAAGGGGAAUACAAACCAAAACUCCAAUUCAAGAUGCCUUGCAAAACUUGUCUGGCCGAUUGCAAAUGCACCACCUCAAACUGUGGCACCGGAUGUGGCUGCGAGUCGCGCUGUAGCUGCCCGUGUAAGGAUGGCGCUAAGCAAGGCUGCUGCAAAUAGUUCAACGUUUAAACCUAACCCCCGGGAAAUAGUCGGAGCUUUCCUAUCCUCUGUUGACUGCCGAUUCGGAUGAUGGACACAUGGAGCAAGCAAGAGCCGAUGGGCUGGGGCAUAACAUAUUAAGUACACUUUUCAUUCCCAUCCUCCUUUCUAACUUAUAAACAUUGGAAACAUUGUAAAAAAAAGAGCUUCGAAAUACAUACUAUCAUCAAAUGUGGUAAA